rnacentral:rRNA from 1 species
GAUGAACGCUGGCGGCAUGCCUAAGACAUGCAAGUCGAACGAGAUGGCCCAGUGAAGGUUGAGUGCUUGCACGAGACUGAAUCUGGAUUCCCAUCUAGUGGCAGACGGGUGAGUAACACGUGGGUGACCUACCUUUUCGUUGGGGAUAACAGUUGGAAACGAUUGCUAAUACCGAAUAAAAUGUAAGAGUCAAUUUUACAUUGAAAGGAGCCUUUAAAGCUUCGCGAUUAGAUGGGCCUGCGGCGUAUUAACUAGUUGGUGAGGUAAUGGCUUACCAAGGUGACGAUGCGUAGCCGAACUGAGAGGUUGAUCGGCCACAUUGGGACUGAGACACGGCCCAAACUCCUACGGGAGACAGCAGUUAGGAAUAUUCGUCAAUGGAGGAAACUCUGAACGAGCAAUGCCGCGUGAGUGAUGAAGGUCUUAUAGAUUGUAAAACUCUGUUGUAUGGAAAAAACGGCUAGGUUAGGAAAUGAACUUAGUGUGAUGGUACCAUACCAGAAAGC